AAUGAACGUUGGCGGCGUGGAUUAGACAUGCAAGUCGUGCGAGAACCGUAGCAAUACGGGGACAGCGGCGAAAGGGAGAGGAAUACGCGGGUACCUACCCUCGGAUCUGGGAUAGCUACGGGAAACUGUAGGUAAUACCAGAUGACGUCUUCGGACCAAAGGUGUGAUUCCGUCCGGGGAGGGGCCCACGUCCUAUUAGCUUGUUGGCGAGGUAACGGCUCACCAAGGCAAAGAUGGGUAUGGGAUGUGAGAGCAUGAUCCCACUCACUGGGACUGAGACACUGCCCAGACACCUACGGGUGGCUGCAGUCGAGAAUCUUCGGCAAUGGGGGCAACCCUGACCGAGCGACGCCGCGUGCGAGAUGAAGGCCUUCGGGUUGUAAAUCGCUGUCAGUGGGGAGGAAAUGCUGGUGGGUUCUCCCAUCAGUUUGACCUAUCCGCAGAGGAAGGACGGGCUAAGUUCGUGCCAGCCGCCGCCGUAAGAC
rnacentral:rRNA from 1 species